UAUAUCUUGAUGUAAAGAGCAUGUAAGAUUUUGAUUCUUAAAGAAAUGGUGUAAUUCCAUUAGAUAUAA
rnacentral:tRNA from 1 species